rnacentral:rRNA from 1 species
CGGAAUUACUGGGCGUAAAGAGUGCGUAGGUGGUUGAUUAAGUUAUCUGUGAAAUCCCUGGGCUUAACCUGGGCAGGUCAGAUGAUACUGGUUGACUCGAGUAUGGGAGAGGGUAGUGGAAUUUCCGGUGUAGCGGUGAAAUGCGUAGAGAUCGGAAGGAACACCAGUGGCGAAGGCGGCUACCUGGCCUAAUACUGACACUGAGGCACGAAAGCGUGGGGAGCAAACAGGAUUAGAUACCCUGGUAGUCCACGCUGUAAACGAUGUCA